rnacentral:rRNA from 1 species
ACGUAGGUGGCAAGCGUUGUCCGGAUUUACUGGGCGUAAAGCGAACGCAGGCGGACCUUUAAGUAGGAAGUGAAAGGUUGGAGCUCAACUCUAACACUGCUCCCUAUACUGGAGGUCUUGAGUGCCGGAGAGGAAGACGGAACAAGUUGUGUAGCGGUGAAAUGCGUUGAUAUAACUUGGAACACCAAUGGCGAAAGCAGUCUUCUGGACGGAUACUGACGCUCAGGUUCGAAAGCCAAGGUAGCAAACAGGA